rnacentral:rRNA from 1 species
UACGGGGGAUGCAAGCGUUAUCCGGAAUCAUUGGGCGUAAAGCGCCUGUAGGUCGCUUGAUAAGUCUGUUGUUAAAGCUUAGGGCUCAACCCUAAAAAAGCAAUGGAAACUGACAAGCUUGAGUAUGGUAGGGGUAGAGGGAAUUUCUAGUGUAGCGGUGAAAUGCGUAGAUAUUAGAAAGAACACCGGUGGCGAAGGCGCUCUACUGGACCAUUACUGACACUCAGAGGCGAAAGCUAGGGGAGCAAAAGGGAUUAGAUACCCCUGUAGUCCUAGCCGUAAACGAUGGAUACUAGAUGUUGUGCAUAAUGUACAGUAUCGUAGCUAACGCGUUAAGUAUCCCGCCUGGGGAGUACGCUCGCAAGGGUG